rnacentral:rRNA from 1 species
UGGGGAAUAUUGCACAAUGGGCGCAAGCCUGAUGCAGCCAUGCCGCGUGUAUGAAGAAGGCCUUCGGGUUGUAAAGUACUUUCAGCGGGGAGGAAGGGAGUAAAGUUAAUACCUUUGCUCAUUGACGUUACCCGCAGAAGAAGCACCGGCUAACUCCGUGCCAGCAGCCGCGGUAAUACGGAGGGUGCAAGCGUUAAUCGGAAUUACUGGGCGUAAAGCGCACGCAGGCGGUUUGUUAAGUCAGAUGUGAAAUCCCCGGGCUCAACCUGGGAACUGCAUCUGAUACUGGCAAGCUUGAGUCUCGUAGAGGGGGGUAGAAUUCCAGGGGUAGCGGUGAAAUGCGUAGAGAUCUGGAGGAAUAACGGUGGCGAAGGCGGCCCCCUGGACGAAGACUGACGCUCAGGUGCGAAAGCGUGGGGAGCAAACAGG